UAGGGAAUCUUCGGCAAUGGACGAAAGUCUGACCGAGCAACGCCGCGUGAGUGAAGAAGGUUUUCGGAUCGUAAAACUCUGUUGUUAGAGAAGAACAAGGACGUUAGUAACUGAACGUCCCCUGACGGUAUCUAACCAGAAAGCCACGGCUAACUACGUGCCAGCAGCCGCGGUAAUACGUAGGUGGCAAGCGUUGUCCGGAUUUAUUGGGCGUAAAGCGAGCGCAGGCGGUUUCUUAAGUCUGAUGUGAAAGCCCCCGGCUCAACCGGGGAGGGUCAUUGGAAACUGGGAGACUUGAGUGCAGAAGAGGAGAGUGGAGUUCCAUGUGUAGCGGUGAAAUGCGUAGCUAUAUGGAGGAACACCAGUGGCGAAGACGGCUCUCUGGUCUGUAACUGACGCUGCGGCUCGAAAGCGUGGGGAGCAAACAGG
rnacentral:rRNA from 1 species